UACGUAGGGUGCGAGCGUUGUCCGGAAUUAUUGGGCGUAAAGAGCUCGUAGGCGGUUUGUCGCGUCUGCUGUGAAAACCCGAGGCUCAACCUCGGGCCUGCAGUGGGUACGGGCAAACUAGAGUGCGGUAGGGGAGAAUGGAAUUCCUGGUGUAGCGGUGGAAUGCGCAGAUAUCAGGAGGAACACCGAUGGCGAAGGCAGUUCUCUGGGCCGUAACUGACGCUGAGGAGCGAAAGCGUGGGGAGCGAACAGG
rnacentral:rRNA from 1 species